AUUGAACGCUGGCGGCAUGCUUUACACAUGCAAGUCGAACGGUAACAGCACUUCGGUGGCUGACGAGUGGCGAACGGGUGAGUAAUACAUCGGAACGUGCCUAGUAGUGGGGGAUAACUACUCGAAAGAGUAGCUAAUACCGCAUGAGAUCUAAGGAUGAAAGCAGGGGACCUUCGGGCCUUGCGCUACUAGAGCGGCUGAUGGCAGAUUAGGUAGUUGGUGGGAUAAAAGCUUACCAAGCCGACGAUCUGUAGCCGGUCUGAGAGGACGACCAGCCACACUGGGACUGAGACACGGCCCAGACUCCUACGGGAGGCAGCAGUGGGGAAUUUUGGACAAUGGGCGCAAGCCUGAUCCAGCAAUGCCGCGUGCAGGAUGAAGGCCUUCGGGUUGUAAACUGCUUUUGUACGGAACGAAAAGCCCUCUUCUAAUACAGGAGGGUCAUGACGGUACCGUAAGAAUAAGCACCGGCUAACUACGUG
rnacentral:rRNA from 1 species